ACGGGAGGCAGCAGUGAGGAAUAUUGGUCAAUGGGCGGAAGCCUGAACCAGCCAAGUCGCGUGAGGGAAGACGGCCCUAUGGGUUGUAAACCUCUUUUUUGCGGGAAUAAAGUGCCUCAUGCGUGAGGUUUUGCAUGUACCGCAAGAAUAAGGAUCGGCUAACUCCGUGCCAGCAGCCGCGGUAAUACGGAGGAUCCGAGUGUUAUCCGGAUUUAUUGGGUUUAAAGGGUGCGUAGGCGGUAGGUCAAGUCAGUGGUGAAAUGGUGCGGCUCAACCGUAGCAUUGCCGUUGAAACUGGCUUACUUGAGUGCGGACGAGGUAGACGGAAUGUGUUGUGUAGCGGUGAAAUGCAUAGAUAUGACACAGAACACCGAUUGCGAAGGCAGUUUACCAGGCCGCAACUGACGCUGAGGCACGAAAGUGUGGGGAUCGAACAGGAUUAGAUACCCUGGUA
rnacentral:rRNA from 1 species